rnacentral:rRNA from 1 species
UACAGGGUGACAGCCCCGUACACAAAAAUGCACAUGCUGUGAGCUCGAUGAGUAGGGCGGGACACGUGGUAUCCUGUCUGAAUAUGGGGGGACCAUCCUCCAAGGCUAAAUACUCCUGACUGACCGAUAGUGAACCAGUACCGUGAGGGAAAGGCGAAAAGAACCCCGGCGAGGGGAGUGAAAAAGAACCUGAAACCGUGUACGUACAAGCAGUGGGAGCACGCUUAGGCGUGUGACUGCGUACCUUUUGUAUAAUGGGUCAGCGACUUAUAUUCUGUAGCAAGGUUAACCGAAUAGGGGAGCCGAAGGGAAACCGAGUCUUAACUGGGCGUUAAGUUGCAGGGUAUAGACCCGAAACCCGGUGAUCUAGCCAUGGGCAGGUUGAAGGUUGGGUAACACUAACUGGAGGACCGAACCGACUAAUGUUGAAAAAUUAGCGGAUGACUUGUGGCUGGGGGUGAAAGGCCAAUCAAACCGGGAGAUAGCUGGUUCUCCCCGAAAGCUAUUUAGGUAGCGCCUCGUGAAUUCAUCUCCGGGGGUAGAGCACUGUUUCGGCAAGGGGGUCAUCCCGACUUACCAACCCGAUGCAAACUGCGAAUACCGGAGAAUGUUAUCACGGGAGACACACGGCGGGUGCUAACGUCCGUCGUGAAGAGGGAAACAACCCAGACCGCCAGCUAAGGUCCCAAAGUCAUGGUUAAGUGGGAAACGAUGUGGGAAGGCCCAGACAGCCAGGAUGUUGGCUUAGAAGCAGCCAUCAUUUAAAGAAAGCGUAAUAGCUCACUGGUCGAGUCGGCCUGCGCGGAAGAUGUAACGGGGCUAAACCAUGCACCGAAGCUGCGGCAGCGACGCUGAUGCGUUGUUGGGUA